AGGGCGGUGGCGGCCAUGUCGGUGGGCAUGGCGGCGGCCAUGUUGGGUACCUGAGGGAGCGGGCUCGGGCACGGAAACAGUAAUUCCAGUUAGGGCUGGGGCAUGGCACUAGUAAUCCCAGUUAUCCCAGUUAUCCCAGUUAAGCGGGACCAGUGGUCUGCCAUAACACUCUGGAGGCUCUCCCCAGCCUUUUUCUAUCCAUCUGACCCCGUGCUGGUGCUUAAUUAAAUUAAUUUAAGCUGCAGUGACUUUAGUGUGAGUAGCGGAGAAGAGCUGUUAAGGUGCUUUAGUGAAAUGUGAAAAAAAGAGGGCAUAUAGUGCUUUAUUCUGUCUCACAUACCAUUCUUCGUCAGAGGGAUAUUGUGUCCGUGCAGUGGUUUAACUUCGGGAGGAAUGUGAACUGACUGCCAACUUGCAGCACAGAAGCUUCCUGUGGCUUCACUAAAAUCAUCUAGAAACUGAGGCUAGAUGAAAAUUUUCCAGCAGUAGGAUUUCUCAGCAGAAAAUUGGAUUCCUGCUGACUCAGAUGUCAUCAGAGAUUUGUGAAUAAGGAGGGGUGGAAGUGAGCAAGAGGCUGUGUGGUGCUUUCCUACCUACCAGGGUUAAACCACAGCAACUAGGUACUCACAGGGGAACAUCACCAUAAACAUAAAAUAUAUGAAAACAAGCAGUGUAGCGUAAAAUAGAAUUUUCAAGGCACACAUUAAAUGGAUUAGAAAUUGGCUUAAAAGCAGAUCUCAAAAUGGGGGAAAUCAUUUUAAUGAUUAUUAAUCAAUUUAAUGAAACUAUCUAAUCUAUCCAAAUGGUAACAUAGGUCUCAGCCAGUUAAAUCCACAGAUGGUGCAAAUUUGUUGAGUAGUAAAUAACGAAGUUAUACCUACACGAUGAUUUGAAUCACCUAAUUAAAUGGUCACAGUCCGGCAAUAAGCACUUCAAUGCAGCUAAAUGCAAGCAGAUACACUGCGGCUGGAUGGUCUAUGGCCACAGGAGGAGAAACCCCAUCUUGAAAUGCUCUGACUCAGGAAAGGAAUACAAGGUCAUCGCUUCAGCCUGAGCUGCCAUUGUAAGUCUCGAGUAAAAAUUAACCAACCCACAUGAUCUGUGGAUUUAUCAAGUAGGUGGACACAGGGAAUAAGACAGAAGGAGUUUUUCUUUUGUAUGCAGCACUGGUAAAACAGCUCCUGCAACACUGUGUUCAUCUGACGUGGCUUCAUUCCAAGAAAGGAAGCCAUGGACUUAGCCAUGGACUGGAAAACAAAGCUGGUGAUGCACUGCUGUCAGACUCUCAUUGAUGAAAGAAAGCUUAAGACUGAGCUGCGUAACAGUGUAUAGGUAUAUGCAGAAAAAAAUACAGAUGGUAGCAGAGGCUUCUGAGUCUGACGGAGAAAGGUACGAGAAGAUCCAGUCACUGAAAUAUUAAGUUGAACAAACUUUUGAAACAUCCAUGUAGUUUAUUGACAACAUUGGUGGGGGGUAGUGUUGUGCCCCUGCUGAAUUCUUCUGUACUCUGAAUCUCACUGGGGUCUGAUUUAGGUUAGAAAUCGGCACCUGUGAAACACCUUCCUGAUAUUUUCAUGGACAAUCUGUAAAAAGAAGUUGCAAGAUUUGCUUUCUGUUGAUUUUUUUUUAACUUUUCAUUCCUUGUAAUCUAUCAAUAAUAUCCAA